GGGACUGUGGCUCAGUGGUAGAGCACUUGCCUAGCAUGUGUGAGGAUCUGGGUUUGAUCCUCAGCACCA
rnacentral:tRNA from 1 species